rnacentral:rRNA from 1 species
UCCCGUCUCUGGGUAACAGGGAGAAGCUUGCUUUUCCGCUGACGACCGGCGCACGGGUGCGUAACGCGUAUAGAACCUACCUUUUACAGAGGGAUAGCCCAGAGAAAUUUGGAUUAACACCUCAUAGUAUUAUAAAUUGGCAUCAAUUAAUAAUUAAACAUUUAUGGGUAAGAGAUGGCUAUGCGUCCUAUUAGCUAGAUGGUAAGGUAACGGCUUACCAUGGCAACGAUAGGUAGGGGUCCUGAGAGGGAGAUC